AUUGAACGCUGGCGGAAUGCUUUACACAUGCAAGUCGAGCGGCAGCGCGGCCUUCGGGCUGGCGGCGAGCGGCGAACGGGUGAGUAAUGCAUCGGAACAUGCCCAGUCGUGGGGGAUAACACCUCGAAAGAAGUGCUAAUACCGCAUACGUCCUGAGGGGGAAAGCGGGGGAUCGCAAGACCUCGCGCGAUUGGAGUGGCCGAUGUCAGAUUAGCUAGUUGGUGGGGUAAAGGCCUACCAAGGCGACGAUCUGUAGCUGGUCUGAGAGGAUGAUCAGCCAAACUGGGACUUGGACACCGCCCCGACUCCUAAGGGAGGGAGCAGUGGGGAAUUUUAGACAAUGGGGGCAACCCUGAUCCAGCCAUUCCGCGUGAGUGAAGAAGGCCUUCGGGUUGUAAAGCUCUUUCGGCAGGAACGAAACGGUGGGCUCUAACAUAGUCCGCUAAUGACGGUACCUGAAGAAGAAGCACCGGCUAACUACGUG
rnacentral:rRNA from 1 species